GCAGAGGCAGAAGAAGAGGUGAAGGUGCAAGCAUCAGGUCCUUCAUGCUGGCAGGUCCCUGGGCACUGAAUGAAGGGAGAGCGUGACAUGGUCCUGAUUUUCCUGGCAGCCCUGGUGGAACUGGCAGACUUUGGUCAUGCCCAAAAGGACUCUGUGCUCCAGUUCCCACCAGAAAUGACCAUCCAGGCAGGACACAACGCAACUCUGCACUGCAACUUCUCCACUAGUUAUAACAAUCCCUACAUCUACUGGUACCAGCAGCACCAGGGCCAAUCCCCUCAGAUGCUGCUGUGGGUGUACAAAGGGAAACCUCGGGUGGAUUCAGGGAGGUUCUCCUCUGCAAUGUUUGUGGAGACCUCCCAGGUGCUUCUGCAUGUGCAGGACACCGAGCUCCAGGACAGCGGAGCCUAUUUCUGUGCACUCAGCCCACACUGGUGCCCACAGCUGGCAGCAGUGCACAGAAAG